rnacentral:lncRNA from 1 species
CCAAAGCUCUUUCCUCAAGCCUUUUCUUCUUUGUUUGAGCUCUUUACCUCGCUUCCUUGCUGUCUCCUCCUUGUCUUGAGCCUGUUAUCAUAUACACAUAUUCUUGUAUUUGCAGUAUUAGAUAAGCAAUUAGGCUAAAGAUUUGAAAGUCCAACAAAAAAUUCAAAAUAUAUCACGUAACGUCAUAGAUUUAAUUAUUAGUGACUCAU